GACGUAGGGCGCAAGCGUUGUCCGGAUUUAUUGGGCGUAAAGAGCUCGUAGGCGGUUUGUCGCGUCUGCCGUGAAAGUCCGGGGCUCAACUCCGGAUCUGCGGUGGGUACGGGCAGACUAGAGUGAUGUAGGGGAGACUGGAAUUCCUGGUGUAGCGGUGAAAUGCGCAGAUAUCAGGAGGAACACCGGUGGCGAAGGCGGGUCUCUGGGCAGUAACUGACGCUGAGGAGCGAAAGCGUGGGGAGCGAACAGG
rnacentral:rRNA from 1 species